GCAUGUUUGACCAGUGUCCUUACAGCCUGUGUGGAUAUGGUGCCUGAGGUUCUGCCUGCCAUGGCCUCUCCACUGGGAUGGAUUGUACCCUCAAACUAUGAGCCAAAAUAUACCUCUCUGGAGCUGCUUCUUGUCAGUCACAUCGAUGAGAAAAGCCUGAACCUUGUGUGCUGCAAUACCACCUAUCAGGAAACUUAUGUCCAUUAGUGUGACAGUGGCAUGACUGUUUGGGGUAACCAACCAUUUCUGACUGGAUUUGAGGCUUCCAUGGGAGGGAG